CCGCCUCACCCGACUCCGCGGCCCCGCGCCACGCCCUAUAAGGGGCCGGUCACGUGGCGGGGCCCGGCCAAUCCGCGCCGGCCCCGCCCACCCUGCCGCGCCGGCCCCGCCCCGCGGCCGCCCCCGCCCCGCCCCGGCCCCUCCGGCUGCGCCUCCCUCGCCCCGCGCCUCCCACCCCGGGGCUGGGCCGGGCCCAGGAGCGGACGAGCCUGUGGGUCCUCGACGGCCGCUCAGCGCCAGCCCGGGCCGUCCCCGGAGCCCACUCUGCCGGCCGCACCGCCCCUGGGUGCCCUCGGCUCCUCAAACUCGGCCCAGACGGACCCCUCGCUCCGCCCGGAGGCGCCACCAGCCCUGGGGCUGCAGCCCAGAGCUGGGCGCCAGGCCUGGGCCGGCCCGCCCCGUCCCCGCCGGGUCCCCGGCCUUCCCAACCCUCCGGGUGCGCUCGGCUCGCGGCCUUGGUGCCACGCGGACGCUUCUGUCGGGGGCCCCCAGCCCGGGUGCGGGACCUGCUGUUUCCACGCACGGGGCUGGCUCCGGGAUCUCAGCUCAGAGAAGCCUCUGACCGCCUUGCAGGCCACGCCCCGUUAGGGAACCUGUCACGGUCACUGCCAUUCCCCAGGCCUCCUUGAGCGCCCACCGCGGGCCGGGCCUGUCCUGGGCUCCCAGCUCUGCCCUCACGGAGCUGACCGUUUUGUACAAAGCACAGCAACCAUUUACACAGCGCUCACUUCGUGCAGGCCCGUGGGUCCUCACAACCUCCAAAAAGGCGGCCCCGGGGUCGGGGAGACCUUCGGGAACAAGGGACCCUCUCGGACCUGAAGCUCGCUCGCAAGGCGCUGAGUGCAGAGUGAGGCCGGGUGCGGGCUGCGCCUUCUGAGAGGGAGGCAGUCCGCACAGUUCCGAGCAGAGGCGCGUAGGCCUCUGAAGGGUCCCUCGGGCUGCCGUGUGGAGUGUGGACUGCAGGAGGCUGGGGUGCUGAAUCACUUAGGAUGCAUUCAGAGGCGAACAACCCGCUUCCCAGCUAGCAGCAGCUUGCACGAUGCCAUUGUGAUCUCACUGAAUACGAAGCCACCAUCUCUCCUCCCUCCAAAAUCCCCACAUACACUUUCUGCCUUCCUGCCUGUUGCCUCAUGCCCCAGGGUGGCUGUCAUAGCACAGGGCAUCACACCGCUACACCAGCAUCUCAAACGGGAAGGAAGUGGCAGGUGUACAAAGGAUGACCACUUUGUGAAUCAGUUCCAGUUCCUGCGUCCUCCCCUUGUUCCUGCCAGCGGGGGAUGGCAUCACGCAGGCAUGGUGAAUCCUGGCCCUUGGGACUUCCCUGCGCCUUGCACAGAUCGCACAGAUUGUGGUAGAUGGUCCCUUGCAAGUGUCAUCCUGCCUGAUGCAUCACCACCGAGGAAGCGACCGAAGUCAGAGACAGAGGAUGCUGCCACUCCCCAAGAAUGAAGCCGGUAGGGGAUAUUAUUGGACUUCGUAUGUGAUGGCAAUGACUCAACAGAAAGAAAAAUUGCUGAUGCAAGAAAAAGAGUGUCUUGCCUCGUCCAGGCAAGAGGGCAUCAGACUUGGGACAGCUCACUCGAGGCAGGGAAAGAAAAGCGGGUCGCACGAUUGCAGGCACAGGGCUUCAUUCCCAUCACCUAGGCUGCAGUACAGGGGCAUGAUCUCGGCUCACUGCAACCUCCACCUCCUGGACUCAAGCAACCCUCCCAUUCCAGCCUCCCAGGUAGCAAGGACUACAGGCACACACCACCAUGCCAGGCUAAUUUUUGUUUGUUUGUUUUUGUUGAGACGGUGUUUCACCAUGUUGCCCAGGCUGGCCUCGAACUCCUGAGUUCAAGUGAUCUGCCCACCUUGGCCUCUCAAAGUGCUGGGAUUACAGGCACGAGCCACCACACUCAGCCUUCAUCAUCUAAUAAAAUCUAACCAAAUCCUUA
rnacentral:lncRNA from 1 species